UUGAGGGAGAUGCAGAUACAAAUCCCCUCUUCUUUUACAUUUUUAAUAGUAAAAAAAGAGGUAAAAAAGUAGGCAGUUGGGAACUGGGAGCUUUCCAGGGUUUUGAGGGUAAUAGCCUUAAAGUAAACAGGGCUAUGUGAGACAGACGGGGCAUGAGAUGUGGCAUAUUUCUGUCAAGUAGGUGGACAUGCCAAUUUCCGGCAUUUUCCUGAUAUUUCAUCCAGGCCAUGGACAAUUCUAGCAUUGAUCAGAAAGUUGCAUAAUAUUUGUUUGUUGUGCUUUGUUUAUGAGUCUUUUGUCAAAUAUUUGUUUGUUGUGCUUUGUUUAUGAAUCUUUUGCUUCUCUCAUUAGACUGAGAAAUUGUCACAGUAGUUUGUCUUGCUGAAUUUGCAUUUGAGAAUGAUAUAGUUUUAGCCUUGUUUCUCUUAGCUUUGAACCAAGGUAACAGCUCAGAGAAUUCUGCUGAUCAUACUAUAGGAUUAUUUUCUGAAUGGACUAACAAGCAGAGAAAUGAUGCAGAUUUGAUUUCUUCGAACCUCAGUGUCUUCUCUUCCAUCUAGUACAGGAAGUCAUUUCAGGAUCCGUGGUAUGACCCUCACGCUGAAGUAAAAUUUACUUUUAUCAAUAAAUUAAAGCCAUACUUUCCUGCUGAUGUUUUGUUCUGUAGACAUUUAUUUGACAAAGUUUAAGGUAAAAUUGUGAAAGCAUUGUAACAUAGCAAAUGAAUUCUUUAGAUUGUUUAGGAUAUAUUCUUUGUAGAGAUUAAAUUGGCUUUAUAAUUUGAAACAAUUUUGAUGAAUUUUAGUUUCGCCUUGCUAGAGUUUAUUAUCCUAUCAAUUGGCCCAAAGGCUGAGAGAUAUUUUAUUUAUUCUGUUUUGUUUCAUUCAACUAUAAAAAUGGCAUCUCUGUUAGGAUUAUUGUUGCAGAAGCAUGCAUGCAGGUGGAAAAGAGCACCCAUUUUAAGUCAUGGUAUAAAUAGAGGGAACAAAGCUUUGCCGGCAAUUGUUGAAUGCUCCACAGAUGGAAAGGAGGACCCUCCUAACAGGAGAAAAAUGGGAGUGUUCUGGCGAGAAUAUGUGCACCGCUAAGGUUUCAAAAUUGCUGUAUAUGACCCUCCAGGUGGCGGCUAAUAACUGAUUUAAUAGUAAAAAAAGAGGUAAAAAAGUAGGCAGUUGGGAACUGGGAGCUUUCCAGGGUUUUGAGGGUAAUAGCCUUAAAGUAAACAGGGCUAUGUGAGACAGACGGGGCAUGAGAUGUGGCAUAUUUCUGUCAAGUAGGUGGACAUGCCAAUUUCCGGCAUUUUCCUGAUAUUUCAUCCAGGCCAUGGACAAUUCUAGCAUUGAUCAGAAAGUUGCAUAAUAUUUGUUUGUUGUGCUUUGUUUAUGAGUCUUUUGUCAAAUAUUUGUUUGUUGUGCUUUGUUUAUGAAUCUUUUGCUUCUCUCAUUAGACUGAGAAAUUGUCACAGUAGUUUGUCUUGCUGAAUUUGCAUUUGAGAAUGAUAUAGUUUUAGCCUUGUUUCUCUUAGCUUUGAACCAAGGUAACAGCUCAGAGAAUUCUGCUGAUCAUACUAUAGGAUUAUUUUCUGAAUGGACUAACAAGCAGAGAAAUGAUGCAGAUUUGAUUUCUUCGAACCUCAGUGUCUUCUCUUCCAUCUAGUACAGGAAGUCAUUUCAGGAUCCGUGGUAUGACCCUCACGCUGAAGUAAAAUUUACUUUUAUCAAUAAAUUAAAGCCAUACUUUCCUGCUGAUGUUUUGUUCUGUAGACAUUUAUUUGACAAAGUUUAAGGUAAAAUUGUGAAAGCAUUGUAACAUAGCAAAUGAAUUCUUUAGAUUGUUUAGGA